UAGGGAAUCUUCCGCAAUGGGCGAAAGCCUGCCGCAGCAACGCCGCGUGUGUGAUGAAGGUCUUCGGAUCGUACAACUCUGUUAUUAGGGAAGAACAAAUGUGUAAGUAACUAUGCACGUCUUGACGGUACCUAAUCAGAAAGCCACGGCUAACUACGUGCCAGCAGCCGCGGUAAUACGUAGGUGGCAAGCGUUAUCCGGAAUUAUUGGGCGUAAAGCGCGCGUAGGCGGUUUUUUAAGUCUGAUGUGAAAGCCCACGGCUCAACCGUGGAGGGUCAUUAGAAACUGGAAAACUUGAGUACAGAAGAGGAAAGUGGAAUUCCAUGUGUAGCGGUGAAAUGCGCAGAGAUAUGGAGGAACACCAGUGGCGAAGGCGACUUUCUGGUCUGUAACUGACGCUGAUGUGCGAAAGCGUAGGGAUCAAACAGG
rnacentral:rRNA from 1 species